AUACCUAGUAGGAGUGCUUGAUUGCAUCUUGUGUAUUUGACUUAGGUGACUCAACACAGGGGUUGGGUCCGUCUAAAACAGGUGUACCCGAAAUAACAAACCAUCUUGAUGAAUUCUAUCUGCUAUGUGAGCAUUUAUUUGUUUUUCCCCGCAUGCUAACCGACUAGGGAAAAUAAAGCAAAAGAAAAACCAAGAGUUAUGUAGGGAAAGGAAAAAAACCCGGUUCUAAAGAAACCCUCAGUAUUUGAAAACAUCCCAAAACUCUGCCAAAUCUUUUCAAAC
rnacentral:lncRNA from 1 species